rnacentral:ncRNA from 1 species
CAAUCAAUAAAUUGAGCUGGUUCUGGCGGGGAGCAGCCGCUAGAGGAAACGGGGAAAGUUUGGUGUAAAUCCAACGCUGUCCCGCAACUGUGAUUCGAUUGUAGGUUGGUGACUACCUAUUGAGGGGUGAGCGAAAAAAGGUGUGGGAGGAGAGGAAGUAGUUAGCGUAUUAUUUACGAUAACAAAGUCCGAAUUAAACUGAAAAUUAGUCACGAGUUCUGCUGGCUUCUUCUAAUAAAU